rnacentral:rRNA from 1 species
UUCGCAAUGCCCGAAAGGGUGACAAUGCGACGCCGCGUGAGCGAUGAAGGCCUUCGGGUUGUAAAGCUCUGUCAGCUGGGAUGAAAGUGAUAGUGAUAACACCACUUUUAAUUGACGGUACCAGCAAAGGAAGCCACGGCUAACUCCGUGCCAGCAGCCGCGGUAAUACAGAGGCGGCAAGCGUUGUUCGGAAUUAUUGGGCGUAAAGAGCACGUAGGCGGCCUUGCAAGUCAGUUGUGAAAGCCUUCCGCUCAACGGAAGAAUGCCAGCUGAUACUACAGGGCUUGAGUACGGGAGGGGAGAGUGGAACUUCUGGUGGAGCGGUGAAAUGCGUAGAUAUCAGAAGGAACGCCGGCGGCGAAAGCGACUCUCUGGCCCGAAACUGACGCUGAGUGUGCGAAAGCUAGGGGAGCAAACGGGAUUAGAUACCCCGGUAGUCCUAGCCGUAAACGAUGGGCACUAAGUAGAGGGGUUUU